rnacentral:rRNA from 1 species
GACGAACGCUGGCGGCGUGCCUAAUACAUGCAAGUAGAACGCUGAAGGAGGAGCUUGCUUCUCUGGAUGAGUUGCGAACGGGUGAGUUACGCGUAGGUAACCCGCCUGGUAGCGGGGGAUAACUAUUGGAAACGAUAGCUAAUACCGCAUAAGAGUAGAUGUUGCACGACAUUUACUUAAAAGGUGCAAUUGCAUCACUACCAGAUGGACCUGCGUUGUAUUAGCUAGUUGGUGGGGUAACGGCUCACCAAGGCGACGAUACAUAGCCGACCUGAGAGGGUGAACGGCCACACUGGGACUGAGACACGGCCCAGACUCCUACGGGAGGCAGCAGUAGGGAAUCUUCGGCAAUGGAUGGAAGUCUGACCGAGCAACGCCGCGUGAGUGAAGAAGGUUUUCGGAUCGUAAAGCUCUGUUGUAAGAGAAGAACGAGUGUGAGAGUGGAAAGUUCACACUGUGACGGUAUCUUACCAGAAAGGGACGGCUAACUACGUGCC